rnacentral:lncRNA from 1 species
AGGAUGGACGUGACCGGGUGGUGACUGUCACCCCCUAUGGCUCACAGUUGUUUGUGAGCAAUGCCAACACCUGACAGCUCACCUUCCCCCGAGUUCAGCUGAGCUCCUGUAGGAUGGGGACGAAGCCCUGUGGGCCAUGAGCCCAUCCCCAAGUCACCCCGGCACCCUUCCACAUCUACGCCAGCAGCGAACACCAGGCACAUUCUUGCAGACGGCCAUCGGGGCAGAGGUGCAGCACUUCCAAGCUCCAGAUGCUCACGGUCAGAAACCAGGAGUCUGCCGCUUCUGUGAAGCACAAUUCUUUUUUUUUUGGUACUAGGAAUUGAACUCACGACCUUGCACUUUUGAGGCAGGUGGCUGCAGCACUGAGCUGAAUCCCCA